rnacentral:rRNA from 1 species
CUUGAAAAUUAAAUCUUACUAUUUUGAUUAAGAGUGGUCUACAUAUUUAAAAGUAAUAAAAACAUUUUGGGAUAUUAUAUUUCUAGUAGAAUGAAUCGAAAAAAAUUUUUAAGAGUUAUAGAAUAAAGUACUGUAAAGGAAAGAUGAAAUAAACUGAAAAGUUAGUCAAAGAAAAGUAGAGUUAAAUACUUGUACCUUGUGUAUUAGGGAAAAUCAAAAUAAGCUUAUUAAGUUAAGUAUUCCCGAAAGAAAAAGAGCUAAUAUAGUCGAACAGUUUUCGUAUUAAUGAAAUUAUAAAGUCUAUAUUAGUAGUGAAACGCUAGUCGAUUUUUCAUAUCUGGUUGUUGGAGAAUUAAAUUAAAUUUAGCUAUUUUAAGGUAAAUAAAGCUUUAAAAUAAGAAAGAAUAGGAGGGAAAAGCUUCUUAUUCUAAAAAUAAGUAAAUUAUAAUAAAAGAAACCAAAAUAUUACUGAAUUAGGCUUAAAAACAGCCAUAUUGUUAAAGCGUUCUAGUUAAUGUAAAUUUACGUAGUAGUAUUUAUAUAAUUGAAGUUUAAUGACAAGUAUCUAACUUUUUUAAUAAAUAUGUUGUUAAAAGUAACACUGAUUUUAUUAGUAGAAAUAAAAUGUGAUUGAGCAAAACGUAAAAUAAUAAAAAACUUUUAAUAAAUGUAAGAUAUAACUAAGGAACUCGGCAAAAUAAUGCUUUUGCCUGUUUAUCAAAAACAUGUCUAUAUGAUUGUUAUAUAAAGUCUGGCCUGCCCACUGAUUUAUUUUAAAGGGCCGCGGUAUACUGACCGUGCGAAGGUAGCAUAAUCAUUAGUCUUUUAAUUGAAGGCUUGUAUGAAUGGUUGGACAAAAAGCAAACUGUCUCAGUUGUAAUAAUUGAAUUUAACUUUUGAGUGAAAAGGCUUAAAUAAGUUAGGGGGACGAUAAGACCCUAUAAAGCUUGACAAUAAGCCGUUUAUAUUAUAAAUUGUUAGUAUAACUUGAUUUUAAAUGGUGUUUGUUGCGUUGGGGCGACGAGAAUAUAAAAGAUAACUGUUCUUAUAAUAUUUAAUAACAGAAAUAGCUGGAAAAUUAAUGAUCCUUUCUUUAAGAUCAUAAGAUUAAGUUACUUUAGGGAUAACAGCGUAAUCUUCCUUGAGAGUUCAUAUCGACAGGAAGGGUUGCGACCUCGAUGUUGAAUUAAGGUAUCCUUAUAAUGCAGCAGUUAUAAAGGAAGGUCUGUUCGACCUUUAAAUCCUUACAUGAUUUGAGUUCAGACCGGCGUGAGCCAGGUCGGUUUCUAUCUCUUAAUUUUAUAAAAGCUAUCUUAGUACGAAAGGAUUAGAUAGCUGGAAUAAUUCUUAUUUCGUAUGUAUAAGUGUAAUCAGUCU